ensembl:lncRNA
UAGAGAGAGAGAGCAGACCACAGCCCCCGGCAUUAUGACUAGCCUGUCUUUGUCUACCCACCCGGACCAUACUAUCCGAAUAUCGCUGGUACUGCAGUUUAAAGGUCACCUGGGACAUGCGCAAAACCAUGUAAACGCCUGCAUGACAUCGACCAGCUGAAGGACCAACCAGACAGACAACCAGCAAAGCAAAAUACUGUGACAAAAAAAGCAGUAUGUGAGGAACAGGAGCUCAAGCAGUAGAGCAUUUGAGGUGCCGGUACUUAGCUCCAGUGAGCUCCUGCCCAAUUCAAGCACUGUGUAUUGGCCAUUGAGAGACUUUGAAGCCACUGGUUGGCCAUAUUGGCACUCCCAAAUAGGAGCAGUCCUCAAAAGGAAUGGAUGGAAUUCAACAGUAUUUCAAGGACAUAAUUACAUGUAUUUGGCUAACAAUAUAAUUGAAAAGUAUGCAUUAAAUGUGUAUGCAAUAUAAAUGUGGAAAAAACGAAUGUUGAUAUUAAUAAAAGGAUUUCUAU